GUGAACGCUGGCGGUAGGCCUAACACAUGCAAGUCGAACGGCAGCACAGUAAGAGCUUGCUCUUACGGGUGGCGAGUGGCGGACGGGUGAGGAAUACAUCGGAAUCUACUUUUUCGUGGGGGAUAACGUAGGGAAACUUACGCUAAUACCGCAUACGACCUACGGGUGAAAGCAGGGGAUCUUCGGACCUUGCGCGAUUGAAUGAGCCGAUGUCGGAUUAGCUAGUUGGCGGGGUAAAGGCCCACCAAGGCGACGAUCCGUAGCUGGUCUGAGAGGAUGAUCAGCCACACUGGAACUGAGACACGGUCCAGACUCCUACGGGAGGCAGCAGUGGGGAAUGUUGGACAAUGGGCGCAAGCCUGAUCCAGCCAUACCGCGUGGGUGAAGAAGGCCUUCGGGUUGUAAAGCCCUUUUGUUGGGAAAGAAAAGCAGCAGGUUAAUACCCCGCUGUUCUGACGGUACCCAAAGAAUAAGCACCGGCUAACUUCGUG
rnacentral:rRNA from 1 species